UACAGAGGGCUCAAGCGUUGUUCGGAUUCAUUGGGCGUAAAGGGCGCGUAGGCGGCGCUGUAAGUCGGGUGUGAAAUUUCGGAGCUUAACUCCGAAACUGCAUUCGAUACUGCGGUGCUUGAGGACUGGAGAGGAGACUGGAAUUCAUGGUGUAGCAGUGAAAUGCGUAGAGAUCAUGAGGAAGACCAGUGGCGAAGGCGGGUCUCUGGACAGUUCCUGACGCUGAGGCACGAAGGCCAGGGGAGCAAACAGG
rnacentral:rRNA from 1 species